AUUGAACGCUGGCGGCAUGCUUUACACAUGCAAGUCGAACGGCAGCACGGGGGCAACCCUGGUGGCGAGUGGCGAACGGGUGAGUAAUAUAUCGGAACGUACCCGGAAAUGGGGGAUAACGUAGCGAAAGUUACGCUAAUACCGCAUAUGCCCUAAGGGGGAAAGCGGGGGAUUCGCAAGAACCUCGCGUUUUCGGAGCGGCCGAUAUCGGAUUAGCUAGUAGGUGAGGUAAAGGCUCACCUAGGCGACGAUCCGUAGCUGGUCUGAGAGGACGACCAGCCACACUGGAACUGAGACACGGCCCAGACUCCUACGGGAGGCAGCAGUGGGGAAUUUUGGACAAUGGGCGAAAGCCUGAUCCAGCCAUGCCGCGUGAGUGAAGAAGGCCUCGGUU
rnacentral:rRNA from 1 species